GUCAGGUUGCUUGUGAAUGCGGCCCAAAGCGGGUGGUAAACUCCAUCUAAGGCUAAAUACUGGCACGAGGCCGAUAGUCAACAAGUACCGUAAGGGAAAGUUGAAAAGGACUGGAAGAGAGUGUUCAAGAGAGCGUG